AGCGAACGCUGGCGGCAGGCCUAACACACGCAAGUCGAACGAACUCUUCGGAGUUAGUGGCGGACGGGUGAGUAACACGUGGGAACGUGCCUUUUGGUUCGGAAUAACUCAGGGAAACUUGUGCUAAUACCGAAUGUGCCCUUCGGGGGAAAGAUUUAUCGCCAUUAGAGCGGCCCGCGUCUGAUUAGCUAGUUGGUGAGGUAACGGCUCACCAAGGCGACGAUCAGUAGCUGGUCUGAGAGGAUGACCAGCCACACUGGGACUGAGACACGGCCCAGACUCCUACGGGAGGCAGCAGUGGGGAAUCUUGCGCAAUGGGCGAAAGCCUGACGCAGCCAUGCCGCGUGAAUGAUGAAGGUCUUAGGAUUGUAAAAUUCUUUCACCGGGGACGAUAAUGACGGUACCCGGAGAAGAAGCCCCGGCUAACUUCGUG
rnacentral:rRNA from 1 species